rnacentral:rRNA from 1 species
GGCUCCUUGUUGGUUUAUAGAAUGAAUAUAGGGAGUCUGACCUGCCCGGUGAUGUAGGAAUUAAACGGCCGCAGUACCCUGACUGUGCAAAGGUAGCAUAAUCAUUUGCCUUUUAAUUGAAGGCUAGUAUGAAAGGUUUGACGUGGGCUAAGCUGUCUCUUUGAGGAUUAAAUAGAAAUUAAUUUUUAGGUGAAAAGGCCUAAAUAUAACUAUGGGACGAGAAGACCCCAUUGAGCUUUAAUUAAACUUUAAAGUAGGGAGAACAUGUAAGAUGUAUUGAACUAUUUGAAAGGUAUUUUUAGUGGGGGAAAACGGAGGAAUAAGUAAAGCUUCCUCUUUUAGAGAGAUUAGUUUAACCUAUUUACAGGUUAACUGAUUAUAUAUUGUUGAGUUGGCAGAUAAAAGAUUAGUAAAAGGAUCCGCUAAUAUAGAUGCGAUUAAGGGAGAAAGUUACCAUGGGGAUAACAGCGUAAUUUCUUCUGGAGAGUUCAAAUUGAAGGAAGGGUUUGCGACCUCGAUGUUGGAUUAAAACAUCCUGAAGGUGUAGCAGUUUUUAAGGGUUGGUCUGUUCGACCAUGAAAGUUUUACA